GACGAACGCUGGCGGCGUGCUUAACACAUGCAAGUCGAACGGACAGACCCGGCGUUUGCGGGGUGCUCGAGUGGCGAACGGGUGAGUAACACGCGAGUAACCCGCCCUUGUCAGUGGGAUAACUUUAGGAAAAUGGGGCUAAUACCGCAUAGGAGCUCCUGCUGCAUAGGGGGGGAUGGAAAGUUACGGCGGUGGGGGAUGGACUCGCGGCUUAUCAGCUGCUUGGUCGGGUAGUGGAGUUCCAAGGCUUUGACGGGUAGCCGGCCUGAGAGCGUGUCCGGCCACCUUGCGCCUGCGGGAGGCACCAGAAUCCAACCGGACGCAAUGGGGGAGAACAUGGCACAGCGAGCGCACGCCAGUUGUGACGACGCCGCGUGCGUGAAGACCUGUUUUGGGGUGUGAACCGAUGUGGAAUGUACCGAGCACUUAGUGACGGUACCGGAUAAGGAAGCACCGGCUAACUACGUG
rnacentral:rRNA from 1 species